AGCGAAAAAGGACCAUCAGCACAUGGACAUUAACCCAAUAGGUAGACAGAGAUGUGACCAAAGCCCUGAUUGGCCUGACUCAGCACAUCCUGGUGGCUUAAGAGUUCCACAAAAGACCCCACUGAAGUCCCUACACUUGGAAGCUCAUAGGGCAACCCUCCUGGACUCCCCUCCGUCUCUAGGAGCUCAAUGAACUUUGCUUUGGUGCCCACCACUCUUCAUCUGGGCUCCCUCUUCAUUCUUCGAAGAAGCAUGGCCAAGAACCUGGUACUUGAGGCGACACCAAAUCCUGGAAUGUCAGCUGGUUCUGGACUCCUAGCUGCAGUACCUUAACCGCUUGCGUCAUUGGCUGACACAGGCCCCUGCUUGACAUGAGGGGCUCCGUUCUGACCUCUGCCAAUGCCAAAGAUCACUAUCUCCAAGGAGACGCCCCAAAUAAGGAAAUAAGAUCCACAGAAAUUCAUCCAUAGAGUAUGUGCAUUUUUUCCAGUCAUGACAUGAGAGGAAUAUCCUGCGUGUUUCAGAAUAUACAGCUGGAGGCGAUGUUCCGUGGUACCUGAAUUUAAGAUCUUGAAAGCACGAGGUAGCUUGCCUGAGAACCAGUGUCAGGAUGCGGUGCUGCUCUCAGACAGGGGAAGGACAACAAUAAACCUCGACUGCGUGUUUUGCAGAGGACUGACUGUUACAGAGGCAGCGCAGACCCUGAGUGUGAGAACACCCCGCCAGGUCCUUCCCCUGGACCUACACUCAGCAUCUCAUCAGCAAGCCACCCUAACUUCGAACUGUGUCUGUGAACAUCUGUGCUUUACCUUCAUUCCUUUUACACAUCUAUUAACAAGAUGUAUCCUAAGGUAUCAGAAAAGCCUAUGAGAGAUUAUUU
rnacentral:lncRNA from 12 species